AUUGAACGCUGGCGGCAUGCUUUACACAUGCAAGUCGAACGGCAGCACGGACUUCGGUCUGGUGGCGAGUGGCGAACGGGUGAGUAAUACAUCGGAACGUACCCAGUAAUGGGGGAUAACUAUCCGAAAGGAUAGCUAAUACCGCAUACGCCCUACGGGGGAAAGAGGGGGAUCGCAAGACCUCUUGUUAUUGGAGCGGCCGAUGGCUGAUUAGCUAGUUGGUGAGGUAAAGGCUCACCAAGGCGACGAUCAGUAGCGGGUCUUAGAGGACGAUCCGCAACACUGGAACGGAGACACGGUCCAGACUCCUACGGGAGGCAGCAGUGGGGAAUCUUGGACAAUGGGCGCAAGCUGAUCCAGCAAUGCCGCGUGCGUGAAGAAGGCCUUCGGGUUGUAAAGCGCUUUUGUCAGGGAGCAAAUCCUUGUGGCUAAUACCCACCGGGGAUGAGAGUACCUGAAGAAUAAGGACCGGCUAACUACGUGCCAGCAGCCGCAGUAA
rnacentral:rRNA from 1 species